rnacentral:rRNA from 1 species
UACGUAGGGGGCUAGCGUUAUCCGGAAUUACUGGGCGUAAAGGGUGCGUAGGUGGUUUCUUAAGUCAGAGGUGAAAGGCUACGGCUCAACCGUAGUAAGCCUUUGAAACUGGGGAACUUGAGUGCAGGAGAGGAGAGUGGAAUUCCUAGUGUAGCGGUGAAAUGCGUAGAUAUUAGGAGGAAUACCAGUUGCGAAGGCGGCUCUCUGGACUGUAACUGACACUGAGGCACGAAAGCGUGGGGAGCAAACAGG